GACGAACGCUGGCGGCGUGCUUAACACAUGCAAGUCGAACGGAAAGGCCCUGCUUUUGUGGGGUGCUCGAGUGGCGAACGGGUGAGUAACACGUGAGUAACCUGCCCUUGACUUUGGGAUAACUUCAGGAAACUGGGGCUAAUACCGGAUAGGAGCUCCUGCUGCAUGGUGGGGGUUGGAAAGUUUCGGCGGUUGGGGAUGGACUCGCGGCUUAUCAGCUUGUUGGUGGGGUAGUGGCUUACCAAGGCUUUGACGGGUAGCCGGCCUGAGAGGGUGACCGGCCACAUUGGGACUGAGAUUCGGCCCAGACUCCUACGGGAGGCAGCAGUGGGGAAUAUUGCACAAUGGGCGGAAGCCUGAUGCAGCAACACCGCGUGCGGGAUGACGGCCUUCGGGUUGUAAACCGCUUUCGCCUGUGACGAAGCGUGAGUGACGGUAAUGGGUAAAGAAGCACCGGCUAACUACGUG
rnacentral:rRNA from 1 species